GACGUAGGUGGCGAACGUUAUCCGGAAUUAUUGGGCGUAAAGGGUGCGUAGAUGGUGUAGUAAGUUAUCGGUGGCAAAUCGAGGCUCAACCUCGUGGAAGUCGGUAAUACUGCUAUGCUAGAGGAUAGGAGAGGUUAACGGAACUCCCUGUGGAGCGGUGAAAUGCGCAGAUGUCAGGAGGAACACCAAUGGCGAAGGCAGCUCGCUGGGACGGUACUGACGCUGAGGCGCGAAAGCGUGGGGAGCAAACAGG
rnacentral:rRNA from 1 species